AUUGAACGCUGGCGGCAUGCCUUACACAUGCAAGUCGAACGGCAGCACGGGAGCAAUCCUGGUGGCGAGUGGCGAACGGGUGAGUAAAGUAUCGGAACGUACCUUUCAGUGGGGGAUAACGUAGCGAAAGUUACGCUAAUACCGCAUAUUCUGUGAGCAGGAAAGCAGGGGAUCGCAAGACCUUGCGCUGAUUGAGCGGCCGAUAUCAGAUUAGCUAGUUGGUGAGGUAAAGGCUCACCAAGGCGACGAUCUGUAGCGGGUCUGGGAGGAUGAUCCGCCACACUGGAACUGAGACACGGUCCAGACUCCUACGGGAGGCAGCAGUGGGGAAUUUUGGACAAUGGGCGCAAGCCUGAUCCAGCCAUGCCGCGUGAGUGAAGAAGGCCUUCGGGUUGUAAAGCUCUUUCGGCCGGGAAGAAAUCGUGUGGGUUAAUACCCUGCAUGGAUGACGGUACCGGAAUAAGAAGCACCGGCUAACUACGUGCCAGCCGCCGCCGUAA
rnacentral:rRNA from 1 species